rnacentral:lncRNA from 1 species
CAUGAUGAUGUGAAAUGCCAUGAUAAUAUACAUGUGCAUUAAUGAUAUGCUAUGAUAUGUGAUGUAUGUGAUGCGGGUUCAUGUGUGCCCACAUGAACCAUAUGAUGCUAAUGUUUAUGUGUUGUGCACUGUUUUUCAGAAAACAGGAUGAGAGGAACUCGUCGAUCAACAAGAUUGACUGGAGUACCACCUGAGGAUGAGGGCAUGAGCGCCCGUCCUCCAGCAUUGCCUAGGGCAAUGUCUAGUAGGUCUAACAGAGAUAGAGCAGCAAGAGACCCUAGAAGGUCUUUGGAUCUAGGUAGAAGCAGAUCAGUCAGAGGAACAGUUCAGGGAGGAGUGUCUGAGAGCAUGGGGGAUG